rnacentral:rRNA from 1 species
AGAGUUUGAUCCUGGCUCAGGAUGAACGCUAGCGGCAGGCUUAACACAUGCAAGUCGAGGGGUAACAGAGGAAAGCUUGCUUUCUUGCUGACGACCGGCGCACGGGUGAGUAACGCGUAUACAAUCUACCUUAUACUAGGGGGUAGCCUUUAGAAAUGAAGAUUAGUACCCUAUAGUCUAUUAAUAUAUAGCAUUAUAUAAAUAGUAAAGGUUACGGUAUAAGAUGAGUAUGCGUCCUAUUAGUUAGUUGGUAAGGUAACGGCUUACCAAGACAACGAUAGGUAGGGGCCCUGAGAGGGGGAUCCCCCACACUGGUACUGAGACACGGACCAGACUCCUACGGGAGGCAGCAGUGAGGAAUAUUGGACAAUGGGCGCAAGCCUGAUCCAGCCAUGCCGCGUGCAGGAAGACGGCCCUAUGGGUUGUAAACUGCUUUUAUACAGGAAGAAACACUCCCUCGUGAGGGAGCUUGACGGUACUGUAAGAAUAAGGACCGGCUAACUCCGUGCCAGCAGCCGCGGUAAUACGGAGGGUCCGAGCGUUAUCCGGAAUCAUUGGGUUUAAAGGGUCCGUAGGUGGAUAAUUAAGUCAGAGGUGAAAUCCUGCAGCUCAACUGUAGAAUUGCCUUUGAAACUGGUUAUCUUGAGUUAUUAUGAAGUAGUUAGAAUAUGUAGUGUAGCGGUGAAAUGCAUAGAUAUUACAUAGAAUACCAAUUGCGAAGGCAGAUUACUAAUAAUAUACUGACACUGAUGGACGAAAGCGUGGGUAGCGAACAGGAUUAGAUACCCUGGUAGUCCACGCCGUAAACGAUGGAUACUAGCUGUUCGAUCUUCGGAUUGAGUGGCUAAGCGAAAGUGAUAAGUAUCCCACCUGGGGAGUACGUUCGCAAGAAUGAAACUCAAAGGAAUUGACGGGGGCCCGCACAAGCGGUGGAGCAUGUGGUUUAAUUCGAUGAUACGCGAGGAACCUUACCAGGGCUUAAAUGUAGAUUGACAGGGGUGGAAACACCUUUUCCUUCGGGCAAUUUACAAGGUGCUGCAUGGUUGUCGUCAGCUCGUGCCGUGAGGUGUCAGGUUAAGUCCUAUAACGAGCGCAACCCCUGUUGUUAGUUGCCAGCGAGUCAUGUCGGGAACUCUAACAAGACUGCCAGUGCAAACUGUGAGGAAGGUGGGGAUGACGUCAAAUCAUCACGGCCCUUACGUCCUGGGCCACACACGUGCUACAAUGGCCGGUACAGAGAGCAGCCACUAGGUGACUAGGAGCG